UCGAACGAUGACUAUCUAGCUUGCUAGAUAUGAUUAGUGGCGGACGGGUGAGUAACAUUUAGGAAUCUGCCUAGUAGUGGGGGAUAGCUCGGGGAAACUCGAAUUAAUACCGCAUACGACCUACGGGUGAAAGGGGGCGCAAGCUCUUGCUAUUAGAUGAGCCUAAAUCAGAUUAGCUAGUUGGUGGGGUAAAGGCCCACCAAGGCGACGAUCUGUAACUGGUCUGAGAGGAUGAUCAGUCACACCGGAACUGAGACACGGUCCGGACUCCUACGGGAGGCAGCAGUGGGGAAUAUUGGACAAUGGGGGCAACCCUGAUCCAGCCAUGCCGCGUGUGUGAAGAAGGCCUUUUGGUUGUAAAGCACUUUAAGCAGGGAGGAGAGGCUAAUGGUUAAUACCCAUUAGAUUAGACGUUACCUGCAGAAUAAGCACCGGCUAACUCUGUGCCAGCAGCCGCGGUAAUACAGAGGGUGCGAGCGUUAAUCGGAAUUACUGGGCGUAAAGCGAGUGUAGGUGGCUCAUUAAGUCACAUGUGAAAUCCCCGGGCUUAACCUGGGAACUGCAUGUGAUACUGGUGGUGCUAGAAUAUGUGAGAGGGAAGUAGAAUUCCAGGUGUAGCGGUGAAAUGCGUAGAGAUCUGGAGGAAUACCGAUGGCGAAGGCAGCUUCCUGGCAUAAUAUUGACACUGAGAUUCGAAAGCGUGGGUAGCAAACAGGAUUAGAUACCCUGGUAGUCCACGCCGUAAACGAUGUCUACUAGCCGUUGGGGUCCUUGAGACUUUAGUGGCGCAGUUAACGCGAUAAGUAGACCGCCUGGGGAGUACGGCCGCAAGGUUAAAAC
rnacentral:rRNA from 1 species